AGCAGUAGGGAGGAUUUUAACCUCCGGCAUCUGGUUUACAAG
rnacentral:tRNA from 1 species